AUGCUACUUCCUCCGUCCGGAAAAGCUUGUCCCUCAAAUGAAUGUAUCUAGCAUCAAGUUAGUGCUAGAUACAUCCAUUUGAGGGACAAGUUUGGGACAAGCUUUUUCGGACAGAGGGAGUACCUA
rnacentral:pre_miRNA from 1 species